GUAGUAUAGAGGACUACCAUGGUGGUAACGGGUAACGGAGAAUCAGGGUUUGAUUCCGGAGAAGGAGCCUGAGAAACGGCUACUACUUCCAAGGAAGGCAGCAGGCGCGCAAAUUACCCAAUCCCGACACGGGGAGGUAGUGACAAAAAAUAACAAUAUCGAUGUUUUUACAACUUUGAUAAUUGGAAUGAGUACAAUCUAAAACCUUUAACGAGUAUCAAUUGGAGGGCAAGUCUGGUGCCAGCAGCCGCGGUAAUUCCAGCUCCAAUAGCAUAUAUUAAAGUUGUUGCAGUUAAAAAGCUCGUAGUUGGAUUUUGAAAUGUUAUAAAACAGCCCGCUUUUGUAAGUGUGAUUUUGUUGUUUUAUAUCUUUCUCCUUACUAGACUUUCACUAUUGUUCUUCAUUGAUCGAUAGUUUCAUCUCUUUUUUGGGGGUGAGUGAUGGUUAGACCUCUUGGGUUUAGGAUUGUGGAUGAUUGCUUUUGGUGAUCGUUCUGCUUAGAUUCAAGAACUGAUUAUUAGAAAUCUAGUUCUUUUACUUUGAGUAAAUUAGAGUGUUCAAGGCAAGCAAAUUAUUAUUGUUGCAAUGAAUACUAUUAGCAUGGGAUAAUGGAACAGGACACGUAUUCUAGUUUUCUGUUGGUUUCUAGAAUUUUUUGGCUUCUUCGGAAGUCAGUAGUGUAAUGAUUAAAAGGGACAGUUGGGGGCAUUCGUAUUUCAUUGUCAGAGGUGAAAUUCUUGGAUUUAUGAAAGACGAACUUCUGCGAAAGCAUUUGUCAAAGAUGUUUUCAUUAAUCAAGAACGAAAGUUAGGGGAUCGAAGACGAUCAGAUACCGUCGUAGUCUUAACCAUAAACUAUGCCGACCAGGGAUUGGAAGAUGUAUUAUUCUGUGUAACAGCAGAAAAACUCCUUCAGUACCUUACGAGAAAUCAUAAGUCUUUGGGUUCUGGGGGGAGUAUGGUCGCAAGGCUGAAACUUAAAGGAAUUGACGGAAGGGCACCACCAGGAGUGGAGCCUGCGGCUUAAUUUGACUCAACACGGGAAAACUUACCAGGUCCAGACACAGUUAGGAUUGACAGAUUGAGAGCUCUUUCUUGAUUCUGUGGGUGGUGGUGCAUGGCCGUUCUUAGUUGGUGGAGUGAUUUGUCUGGUUAAUUCCGAUAACGAACGAGACCUCAGCCUACUAAUUAGUUAUGCAAAUGAUUACAUUCUUUAUGAAGGGGGUUUCUGUUAUAGCUUUGGGUUUGACUUGGAAAUAUAAUAGAAAAACUCGUUUUCAUUUGUUAGAGAUUUGACGCUUCGGUUGAUUAUCUCGAUAACGACUUCUUAGAGGGACACUUGGUGUUUAACCAAGGGAAGUUUGAGGCAAUAACAGGUCUGUGA
rnacentral:rRNA from 1 species